AUGCUUAACACAUGCAAGUCGAACGUGCCUUCGGGCAAGUGGCAGACGGCUGAGUAACGCGUGAGUAACACACCCUUCGGUGGGGUAUAGCCUCGGGAAACUGAGGGUAAUCCCGCAUACGAUCCCUACGCUCUGGUGUAGGGAUGAAAGCCUUCGGGCGCCGGAGGAGUGGCUCGCGUCCUAUCAGGUAGUUGGUGAGGUAACGGCUCACCAAGCCGAUGACGGGUAGCUGGUCUUAGAGGACGAUCAGCCAGAGGGGGACUGAGACACGGCCCCCACUCCUACGGGAGGCAGCAGCAGGGAAUUUUGGGCAAUGGACGAAAGUCUGACCCAGCGACGUCGCGUGGGGGAUGAAGGCUCUAGGGCUGUAAACCCCUUUUCCGAGGGAAGAGGAAGGACGGUACCUCGGGAAUAAGCUCCGGCUAACUACGUGCCAGCAGCCGCGGUAAUACGUAGGGAGCGAGCGUUACCCGGAAUUACUGGGCGUAAAGAGCACGUAGGCGGUUGGAUAAGUCUUCUGUGAAAGCUCCUGGCUCAACUGGGAGAGGUCAGGGGAUACUAUUCGACUUGAGGGCUGUAGAGGUAAGCGGAAUUCCCGGUGUAGCGGUGAAAUGCGUAGAUAUCUGAAGGAACACCAGUGG
rnacentral:rRNA from 1 species